GGAUGAACGCUGGCGGCGUGCUUAACACAUGCAAGUCGAGCGAGAAGUUUUAAAAGAAUUCUUCGGAUGAACUUUGAAACCGAAAGCGGCGGACGGGUGAGUAACGCGUAGGCAACCUGCCUCACACUGAGGGAUAGCUCCGGGAAACCGGGAUUAAUACCUCAUAAAACUCAAGUAUCGCAUGAUACGUGAGUCAAAGAUUAAUCGGUGAGAGAUGGGCCUGCGUCUGAUUAGCUAGUUGGUAAGGUAAAGGCUUACCAAGGCGACGAUCAGUAGCCGACCUGAGAGGGUGAUCGGCCACACUGGAACUGAGACACGGUCCAGACUCCUACGGGAGGCAGCAGUGGGGAAUAUUGCACAAUGGGCGCAAGCCUGAUGCAGCAACGUCGCGUGAGUGAUGAAGGCUUUCGGGUCGUAAAACUCAGUCCUAAGGGAAGAAGAAGUGACGGUACCUUAGGAGGAAGCCCCGGCUAACUACGUGCCAGCAGCCGCGGUAAUACGUAGGGGGCAAAGCGUUAUCCGGAAUUAUUGGGCGUAAAGAGUGCGUAGGUGGUUUUACAAGCCUUGGGUGAAAGGCUACGGCUUAACCGUAGUAAGCCUUGGGAACUGUAGGACUUGAGUGCAGGAGAGGAGAGCGGAAUUCCUAGUGUAGCGGUGAAAUGCGUAGAUAUUAAGGAGGAACACCAGUGGCGAAAGCGGCUCUCUGGACUGUAACUGACGCUGAGGCACGAAAGCGUGGGGAGCGAACAGAUAGAAUACCUGGUAGUCAACGCCGUAAAACGAAUGAGUACUAGUGUCGGGGUCGCGAGGCUUCGGUGCCGUAGCUAACGCAUUAAGUACUCGCCUGGGGAGUACGCACGCAAGUGUGAAACUCAAAGGAAUUGACGGGGACCCGCACAAGCAGCGGAGCAUGUGGUUUAAUUCGAAGCAACGCGAAGAACCUUACCAGAGCUUGACAUCCCUCUGACGCAUCCUUAGAAGGAUGUUCUCUUCGGAGCAGAGGAGACAGGUGGUGCAUGGUUGUCGUCAGCUCGUGUCGUGAGAUGUUGGGUUAAGUCCCGCAACGAGCGCAACCCUUGUCUUUAGUUGCCAGCAAUUCGGAUGGGCACUCUAAAGAGACUGCCGGGGAUAACUCGGAGGAAGGUGGGGAUGACGUCAAAUCAUCAUGCCCCUUAUGUUCUGGGCUACACACGUGCUACAAUGGCCGGUACAAAGAGCAGCAAUAGAGCGAUCUGGAGCAAAUCUUAAAAGCCGGUCUCAGUUCGGAUUGUAGGCUGAAACUCGCCUACAUGAAGUGGGAGUUGCUAGUAAUCGUGGAUCAGAAUGUCACGGUGAAUGCGUUCCCGGGUCUUGUACACACCGCCCGUCACACCAUGGAAGUUGGGGGCACCCGAAGUCGGUCGAAAACAGGCUGCCGAAGGUGAAAUCAAUGACUAGGGU
rnacentral:rRNA from 1 species